rnacentral:lncRNA from 10 species
UUUUCUAACAACCAUGCAAUUAGAUAAGACACUGACGCUCACAGAUCAAAUCAGGCAGAUCUGAAAUCCUGCAAUCAUCGAGGAUUUACAGGAGAUGAAGCUGAAGCCCGGAAGGAAUUAUUGCACCAAUGCUCACACAGCUACUACUGGAUCAAUAAAUCAGGUUUUGGCUCGGAAGGAGGGAGAUUUUGGUUGUAUGAAUUUAGCCUUGAGGCAGCAGGUUGAUGGUGUCACUGACAGAAAGGAAAACUGCGUGGGCGGAAGAUGCUCAUGUUAUAGAAUGAAUGUGCUGCACGGAGAAAAGGCAAGAACUCAUCCCUUCACCAAGAAAAGCAUCAACACAGCAAGUUCCUCAACACACCAUGGACAGAGGCUGCAGUGCAGGCUUUAGGAUUCAUCCUCAUUAGCAGGUAAUGGCUCUCCUUCCAGCACCACCACCAAACUGGGUCGUCGUGUCCUCUGCCUGUACUAUGGAAUGAACUGUGCAGUCACCUAGUGUGUUCUUCUUAAGGAGAAAAAUUAAAGGGCUUAUUAAUUCUGACAUGAUUUACAGAAUUACACUGCAAAUCAUCAGGUCUUUCCCCCCUAUAUUAAAUCUGAGAUACAGGAAAUUGAUCCAAUUCUCAUAGUUCUCUCACCCCAUUACUUAUCUAUAAGCUUAUUUCCUUUUGUUCUUCUCCAAGUUCUUUUUCAGUGUUGUUUCCCUUUCCUUAUCUUUGCCUUCCUCG